rnacentral:lncRNA from 1 species
CUAGAGGCCACCUCUGAGGGAAACAGGACUCAAACUUGGCUUUUGACUUGGGGAACAUCCAGAAGAGUCCAAGCUCCUGUGUGCUCAGUGUGUAACUUUGUCUAAAAAAAAAUAGAAAAAGAAAACAGAAUGUGUUUUUUUAGCUACUGAGACUUUAAAUUUGUUAUAACUGGGCGGGGGGGGGGAUUCAUUUCAACUUCAUUUCUAAAAUGAGUUAAGCACUGAUUAUAAAUAGAAAAACUUCCUCAAAUGGAAAACAUUACAACUAGAUUUUACUUUUAUAUAUAUUUUGUGGAUUUUUCAUUAUAGGUUCUGGUUGCAGAAGGUGCCGAGAUACAAGAUCUGACAUAGUUAAUUUAUUGUGCUCUGUAUACAGCGGGGAAAAGAAUUCUCAAGCAAGCUAUCCCUGAGCCACUUACCUGAAUUGGAUUGAAUUUUCCCCAAAGCAGCGUUCGUUCCACAGGCCUUCAGGCCUCCAAGCAGAACUUGCCAUUUGAGUGGGGCCAAGCAGGAAACACAAAGCUGGAAUUUUCUCCCGAAGUUAAUCUGCCAAGGAGCUAAAGUAAGUUCGUGGUCUGAGGUGUUUGCCUCACCCCAGUCUUGAAGUUUGUCCUUCAGCUGCGCUUGUC